AAUGUAGUAAGAUGCUUCUCUGUGCCUU
rnacentral:piRNA from 1 species